rnacentral:rRNA from 1 species
GGGGAUCGUUUUCCCGGAUUAUUGGGCGUAAGAGCUCGUAGGCGGUUUGUCGCGUCUGCUGUGAAAACUGGAGGCUCAACCUCCAGCCUGCAGUGGGUACGGGCAAACUAGAGUGCGGUAGGGGAGAUUGGAAUUCCUGGUGUAGCGGUGGAAUGCGCAGAUAUCAGGAGGAACACCGAUGGCGAAGGCAGAUCUCUGGGCCGUAACUGACGCUGAGGAGCGAAAGCAUGGGGAGCGAACAGGAUUAGAUACCCUGGUAGUCCAUGCCGUAAACGUUGGGAACUAGAUGUGGGGGCCAUUCCACGGCUUCCGUGUCGCAGCUAACGCAUUAAGUUCCCCGCCUGGGGAGUACGGCCGCAAGGCUAAAACUCAAAGGAAUUGACGGGGGCCCGCACAAGCGGCGGAGCAUGCGGAUUAAUUCGAUGCAACGCGAAGAACCUUACCAAGGCUUGACAUAUACGAGAACGCUCUAGAAAUAGAGAACUCUUUGGACACUCGUAUACAGGUGGUGCAUGGUUGUCGUCAGCUCGUGUCGUGAGAUGUUGGGUUAAGUCCCGCAACGAGCGCAACCCUCGUUCUAUGUUGCCAGCACGUAAUGGUGGGAACUCAUAGGAGACUGCCGGGGUCAACUCGGAGGAAGGUGGGGAUGACGUCAAAUCAUCAUGCCCCUUAUGUCUUGGGCUUCACGCAUGCUACAAUGGCCGGUACAAAGGGCUGCAAUACCGCAAGGUGGAGCGAAUCCCAAAAAGCCGGUCUCAGUUCGGAUUGAGGUCUGCAACUCGACCUCAUGAAGUCGGAGUCGCUAGUAAUCGUGGAUCAGCAACGCCACGGUGAAUACGUUCCCGGGCCUUGUACACACCGCCCGUAAUCACUA